GGAAUGACUUCUAAUCAAGUGUUCCCACGUUCACAAGACUCACAACCAACUCUUCGCUUUCCUUUGCCAUCUUUCCUCUACUACGGCACCCACCCCUCUCCCUUAUGCUUUCUUUUGCUUGAAUUAUCAAAAUCUCAUUAUUACUUCCUUUUUUCUUGGAUUAUCAAAAUCGCAUUUCUUUCUCUUCCUCGUCGCUAGGCCAAAAGGAAUUUUUGCUGUAUUGGUCUAUUUUGAGAAGUAGUUGAUUGUAGUAUGACUGAAUAUCGAAACUCGAGAGGAAGCUCGAGUUCGACGGCGUCUAGUUUGAAUAGCAGUUCACAAGGUACGGAGGAUGAUCAUGCCAUUGCAAAAAUAUUGGCUGAAGAAGAAGAACAAAAUGCUUUGAGGUAUGGGGGAAAGCUUGGCAAGCGACUCUCUCAUUUGGACUCAAUCCCGCAUACUCCGCGGGUUAUUGGGCAGAUACCUGAUCCUAAUCAUGCAACACUUGACCAUGAGAGGCUCUCUGGCAGGUUGGCAGCAAAUGGGCUUGCUGAAUUUCAAAUUCAAGGAGAUGGAAAUUGCCAGUUUCGAGCCCUUGCAGAUCAGUUGUAUCAUAAUCCAGAGUAUCAUAAGCAUGUGAGAAAGGAGGUUGUCAAACAGCUAAAGCAUUUCAGAAAGUUAUAUGAAAGUUAUGUUCCCAUGAAAUACAAAAGCUACCGGAAGAAGAUGAAGAGGUUGGGGGAAUGGGGAGAUCAUAUCACUCUCCAAGCAGCUGCAGAUAGAGUAAUAUGGAGUAAAAAUAUGUUUGGUCACUUCUUUUCGCGAAAAUGGCUACAUUGAGAUCCUUCCUAAGGACAUACAGCCCUCUAGAGAAUUGUGGCUGAGUUUCUGGAGUGAAGUGCAUUACAAUUCUCUAUACGUGAUUGGAGAGGUGCCUGCUAGAGUGCGCAGAAAGAAGCAUUGGCUUUUCUGAGGCUUUCAUAAGCAAAAGUAUUCGUAGCUGCAAUUUAGUAUACUGCCUCGAAGAAACGCAUUUUGCAUAGAGAAGAUCCAAGAUUUCAAGUCAACGUGUGUGGAGUACUACUGCAGUCACUACUCGUGUGACACUGAGUGAGAACUUAAUAUGAGUAUAUUUUCUACAAUCUUUUCACUGCCUAUGUGAAAGUGUAACUGGUCCAUGCCUGGAUAUAUGAAAAGGGUUACAAACCAGCAUAAAGAAUAGUCAAUUAUAGGGAAACCUCGUUACAUUGGAUGAGUCUAUUGGAAACAACCUCUCUAUCUUCACUAGGUAGAGGUAAGAUCUGCGUACACACUACCCUCCCCUAGGAAUAUACUGGGUUUGUUGUUGUUGUCGUUACAUUGGAUGAGCAAAAUAGUUACUGAUAAUUCAUAUGGUCGACCUUAUCUACCUUGAGAUUGAGGUGUAAUGACAUACAUAUAUAGCUUGACUGAAAAGUAGAAGGUACAUUCCUACCA